GCCGGGGUGAUGGAAUGGUAGACAUUGGGGACUUAAAAUCCCCUGGCCGUAAGGCCGUGUGAGUUCGAGUCUCAUCCCCGGCA
rnacentral:tRNA from 1 species